AAUUAAGAACAAACAGAACUAAGAAAUCAAGUGAAGAAACCUGUUUCUGCUUUACAACCAGUAGGUACAAAGUAUUUAAAUCAAGUGGGCUGAUUGCCCAGACGAAUUCAUAUGUAAUUUGUUUGGAAUGGUGAGGAGGUACAGACGAUAUACAAGAAAACAAAGCUAGUAAAAGUACUUAAAAAUUCCAAACCUGCAUCCAUUCAAGGCAAGCACGCUAAAGAACAAGUAUGCCACAAGCUCAUUGUAUGAUAACCAGGAUGCCUGACCCUAACCCACUUUAUGCUAGUAUAGACCCAAUUUCCAGCAUGGUAU
rnacentral:lncRNA from 1 species